rnacentral:rRNA from 1 species
GACAAACGCUGGCGGCGUGCCUAAUACAUGCAAGUCGAACGACGAAAGCCUUCGGGCAAGUAAGAGUGGCGCACGGGCGAGGAACACGUAGAUAAUCUGCCCUUCAGUGGGGAAUAACUCUCCGAAAGGAGUGCUAAUACCGCAUAAGACCACAAGCUCUGCGGAGCAAGGGGUUAAAGGAUUUAUUCGCUGAAGGAUGAGUCUGCGUCCGAUUAGCUAGUUGGUGAGGUAAUGGCUUACCAAGGCUAUGAUCGGUAGAUGGUCUGAGAGGAUGAUCAUCCGCACUGGAACUGAGACACGGUCCAGACUCCUACGGGAGGCAGCAGUAGGGGAUAUUGCACAAUGGGGGAAACCCUGAUGCAGCAACGCCGCGUGAGUGAUGAAGGCUCUAGGGUCGUAAAGCUCUGUCGUAUGGGAAGAAAAAAAUGACGGUACCAUACAAGAAAGGACCGGCCAACUUCGUGCCAGCCGCCGCAGUAA